AUUGAACGCUAGCGGGAUGCUUUACACAUGCAAGUCGAACGAGUGGCGGACGGGUGAGUAAUAUAUCGGAACGUGCCCAGUAGCGGGGGAUAACUACUCGAAAGAGUGGAUAAUACCGCAUACUAUAGGAGCGGCCGAUAUCGGAUUAGCUUGUUGGUGGGGUAAAGGCUCACCAAGGCAACGAUCCUUAGCUGGUUGGAGUGGACGACCCGCCACACUGGGACUGAGACACGGCCCGCACUCCGACGGAAGGCAGCCGUGGGGAAUUUUGGACAGUUGGGGAAACCCCGAUCCAGCCAUCCCGCGUGUAUGAGAAGGCCUUCGGGUUGUAAAGGACUUUUGGCAGAGAUGCGGUAUCUGCAGAAUAAGCACCGGCUAACUACGUGCCAGCAGCCGCGGUAAUUC
rnacentral:rRNA from 1 species